rnacentral:ncRNA from 1 species
GAAAAUGCGAUGACGGAGACAAGUAAGCCGUGAGAUCGGUCACAGCGAGUCGGGGACGGUGCAAGCCCGACACCAGAGCGCAGCCGAAUAACCCUCCCGAGCAGCAAACCGAAAGGAAACAAGUAGGUGAGACGCGUAAGUGUGGCGUUAAUGCACGAGAGCUUGUCAGAGCUCGUAAAAGAGACCGUGUUCAACACGGUAAAAUAGGUGGCACCGCGGAUCAGCAGCUAUUCGUCCUAAAA